CUAAAGGUUGCCGCUCCAGUCCGGAUUGCCGGCCAUUGCAAGACCAGGUAACUUCAAGGCGACGGUAAAUUCAAUGAGGAUUGUGAUGCCCUCCUUGCUAAUGCCCUGCUGGUGACCGAGUCUUAUCCUGUGGUCCUAAGUGACGCUGAGGGCAAAAGGAGCGAGGGGAACUGAGGGGAGGUAAAGCAGGGAAUGCAGAGGCAGCGGGCAGCGUGAGCCGGAGCGGAGUGGAGGGGAGGCGCCAGUGAGGUGGAGCGUGCCAGCCUCGUCUUCUGCGGAGCUGGUGCUCGCCGCCUGCUGCACGCCCGGCAGCCCUCCCGCCGCACCUUCACCUGAUCCUUUGCCUGACUAUCCACGGGCUGCCCCUCACCCUAGUGCCGCGCCCUUGCCCUCGUGCCUCCGCCAGGCGGCCCUCACUUCCUCUUUCAACAGUCGCUGCGGUGCCAACCCGUGGCUCUCACCUGUGACUCACCUGCCUUGCCACUGCGCCCACCCAUAGGUAUGUUGAAGUGAGGUACAGACAACAGCAGAGCAUCUCUCCGUAAGGGCGUGAGUAAACAGUGACUCCUCGUGACUUCCCCUUAGAGUAAAUAGAGUCUAAGCACUACAUCCUUAAAAUAGACCUCCCUGCUGUGUUUUUAUUUGGUUUUGUACGUAAGAGUGGUUGUAAUUGAAGGUGAUUCAUGUAGGAGAGAAGUAGUGCAUUGGAAACAAGGAAAAAGGGUAAACUGAAGAAAGGAACGAGGUUUGCUACAGGGGAAAGGCUUACUGAAGCACAAUAAGGUAAAAAAUAAAGAUAAAUGAAGGCAAAAUGAAGUAUAAAAAUGCCACUG